rnacentral:rRNA from 1 species
GACGAACGCUGGCGGCGUGCCUAAUACAUGCAAGUCGAACGCAGUGGGGACGGUGGAGUAACACGUGGGUAACCUCCCAUCAGAGGGGAUAACACUUGGACACAGGUGCUAAACCGAUAAUGCUGGAUGGACCCGCGGUGCCUUAGCUAGUUGGUGAGGUAACGGCUCACCAAGGCCACGAUGCAUAGCCGACCUGAGAGGGUGACCCGCCACCCUGGGACGGAGACACGGCCCAGAAUCCUACGGGAGGCAGAAGUAGGGAAUCUUCGGAAAUGGACGAAAGUCUGACCGAGCAACGCCGCGUGAGUGAAGAAGGUUUUCGGAUCGUAAAACUCUGUUGUUAGAGAAGCGGUAUCUAACCAGAAAGCCACGGCUAACUACGUGCCAGCAGCCGCGGUAAUAC